rnacentral:rRNA from 1 species
UACGUAGGUGGCAAGCGUUGUUCGGAAUUAUUGGGCGUAAAGGGCUCGUAGGCGGUCUGUUGCGUCGGGAGUGAAAACUCAGGGCUUAACCCUGAGCCUGCUUCCGAUACGGGCAGACUAGAGGUAUGCAGGGGAGAACGGAAUUCCUGGUGUAGCGGUGAAAUGCGCAGAUAUCAGGAGGAACACCGGUGGCGAAGGCGGUUCUCUGGGCAUUACCUGACGCUGAGGAGCGAAAGUGUGGGGAGCGAUCCGG